rnacentral:lncRNA from 10 species
AUGGGAGGAAGACCUGGCGUGAGGCAAACUACCCCUAACAUCUACCCUGGAGAAGAAAAUAUGAGGGAAUGAGAUCAAAUCUAACAAAGCAUCUAAGUCUGGAUUUUACCUUCAAUUGCAAGAUGAAGGUCAUUGGAUAUUUGGAACUACCUUGAGUACAGGCAAACCCAGAAGAAAAAAUAUGGAGCUUAUCACCACCUCAGGAGGCCUUGAAAGAAUCAGAGCCCCAAUAACUGUUAUGGAGAAAGUAGGAUAGGGGUUAGACCCUACACAAGUGUGCGGAGAACUUGGAAAGUUGGGAAUGGAACAUGGAUAGGAUUAAAGCAAGAGUCUUUCUGCAGCCACUACACAAGCCAAUCAUGCACCAAACUGGGACCAAGAAGGAAAACUGGAGGGUCACCUCUGGGAAGCUGAGCCUCUGUGCCAUCAGUACUCAGUGGGUCUAGAGCCGAGCAUCUGGUUUGUGGAGUUGGCACCACUGUUGUUCAACAGGUUCUGUGGACAUGAAUGUGAGCUGGGCAUGGAUCAGAG